AUGUGGUCGGUAGAGUCAGUGUUUGUUACGAAGUGUUUUCAUAUCUUUCUGAGCAAAAUGGCUCUUGUUAAAUGAAAUAAUUCGUUUAAAUUAUAAUUCGCAAAAUUAGAGUCAGUGAGUCCGCCGAUUGUUACUUAAACGCGCGCGUCGAUAGUCUUUUAUUUUAAUUUUUUUAUACUUUCUCUUGUUCAAUACUCGUUUUCUGUAUUAGAGUCAGUGCUCAAGAGGAUAAGGCCUCUCCAGGAGAUCAAGAUCAUCUUCUACAGUCUCCACUUCCCGUAAUCCUCCAAGAAUCGUACGAUGCUUCAAAAGCUAAAAAUAAAUUUUUCACGGCGUUCGCUUCCACCAUGAGAUUCUCAGUGGUAUCUACUUGAUGAGGAUCUUCACGAUAACGUUUUCUGCUCCAGUGCAGCACCGAUGAUAACGUUCUUCACAUCAAUCGCGUGAGUCGCAUGCAUUUAUGUUCCUCCGGUCACUCAAUCAUGUCGUAGG